rnacentral:rRNA from 1 species
UUGAAAGGGAAACGAUUGAAGUCAGUCGUACCAGCGGGAAAUCAACCUUUCGAGUGGGGGUUUUGGAGUUUUUUGAAGAGUGUCAAAACCUUUGAGAUUUCAAAAUAUUCGCUCUUUUGGUGUACUUUCUCGUGGGUAGGUUAACAUCGAUUUUGAUCAUCAUAAAAAGAUUGGAGGAAUGUAGCUUCGAUCUUGUAUUGAAGUGUUACAGCCUUUGGUAAAUGUGAUGAUUAGGAUCGAGGAUUGCAACGAAUACCCUGUUGGGCUAUCCGCCUGAUCUCUGAUACGUGGCCUUGGUAUCGAAAGCGUGCUUAUGGUAUUGAGGUAUUACGGUCAAAAGGUUAGAACGGAUUACAUUCGUUAAGGAUGUUGACGUA